UACGUAUGGGGCGAGCGUUGUUCGGAAUUAUUGGGCGUAAAGGGCGUCUAGGCGGGGGAUUAAGUUAGGUGUGAAAGCCAUGGGCUCAACUCGUGAAUUGCACUUAAAACUGGUUCUCUUGAGUUCGGGAGAGGAGAGCGGAAUUCCAGGUGUAGCGGUGAAAUGCGUAGAUAUCUGGAAGAACACCAGUGGCGAAGGCGGCUCUCUGGCCUAGAACUGACGCUGAAGCGCGAAAGCGUGGGGAGCGAACGGG
rnacentral:rRNA from 1 species